rnacentral:misc_RNA from 1 species
GAUGAAGAACGUAGCGAAAUGCGAUAAGUAAUGUGAAUUGCAGAAUUCAGUGAAUCAUCGAAUCUUUGAACGCACAUUGCGCCCGCUAGUAUUCUGGCGGGCAUGCCUGUCCGAGCGUCAUUUCAACCCUCAAGCCCCCGGGCUUGGUGUUGGGGAUCGGCGAGCCUCCGCGCCCGCCGUCCCCUAAAUCUAGUGGCGGUCUCGCUGUAGCUUCCUCUGCGUAGUAGCACACCUCGCACUGGGAAACAGCGCGGCCACGCCGUUAAACCCCCAACUUCUGAACGUUUGACCUCGGAUCAGGUAGGAAUACCCGCUGAACUUAAGCAUAUCAAUAAGAGGAGGA